rnacentral:rRNA from 1 species
GCGAGGUAGAGCAAAUACUCAAAAAAACAAUCUCAGUUCAGACUGCAGGCUGCAACUCGCCUGCACGAAGUCGGAAUUGCUAGUAAUCGUAGGUCAGCAUACUACGGUGAAUACGUUCCCGGGCCUUGUACACACCGCCCGUCACACCAUGGGAGUCGGAAAUGCCCGAAGUCAGUGACCCAACCGGAAGGAAGGAGCUGCCGAAGGUGGAGCCGGUAACUGGGGUGAAGUCGUAACAAGGUAUC